GGCAACUGCUUCUGAAUGGUCUUAAGUCUUUUGUUUUUGGUCCGAUCAAGAUUUCCGUUUGAGAGCACAUGUACUUAAAUGAAAAAUUUCGCUUACAGUGAAAUGUAAAUUUAGAAUUUCUCAGACUGCAUUCUAAGGUCAAUAACUCCAACUGCAGAAUUUGUGGUCAUAAAAUCUAAAGUGAAAUUGCUGAUGAGCCAUCCGUUGAAUAAAUAUUUUUGUGUCAAACUUCGUACCAGACGUCCUAAUGCAAACGUUCUCUUUGUUUACAAAUAAUUCGGGUUUAGGGAAAUUAUUUAUACUUCGAAACAAGUUUAAUAGCCUACGUCAAAAUGACUUGUUUGACCCAAACACAAUGUAAAUAAGUCAUCGUUCGAUUUUUCUUUGUCCAAUAACUUGAGUGUUGACUUGAUGAAAAUUUUAUAUGGAGCUGAAAGUGUUUUUCUUUAUUGCGGGAAAUAAAUGUUUCAUUAAUUGUAUUAAUUUAACAGCAACGCGGAAUGAUUUGAUAUUAUUUGUUCUGUUUGAAGCUGACAGGAUUCUUUGUCUCGGUAUGUUUUAAGUACAGAGUGCUAAGGUCGUUUGGGCUUCCUCGUUAGUUCGAAUUUUCCGCCUUCACACGUUGGUAUGAGGCAAGGAGUUAUUUUAAUUUGAACUGUCAGUGUUUAUUCCUCAUGUCAUGUUCAUUUUAAUUGUUCGUAGUGGAUAGAAAUAAUUAUGCCUCAUUCCUAUUAAUCGUUUUACUACCUAGGGAAAUCAUUCUAUGACUACCGCAAGUAUAGGGUAAACUGGGUUCGGUUGUGCCAGGGUACAGUAGUGACAGUCGCAAUUGUAACGAAACUAUACGUAAUACGGGGGAGGAGUGUGAGGGAGAAAGACGUGGCUCACAAGCCUAAACACGUUCCCCAAUAUUGCGUUAGCCGGCGCACUACGUUGACGUAAGCAGGAGCCCACACUGCUUUUCAACAAUCAAAAAUGUCCAGAAUACGUUUGUGCAAGACCGAAAGAGCGCAUUGUGAUAUCAAAAAAUAUAAAGAUGCCGAUGAACAAGUGAAACAAGGGAUUUCGGACGUGUAGCUCAAGCUACAAGCCUUUCUACAGCUACAAGUUUUAACAGAGCAAAUGUUGUUUUGUUGAUUGUUAAAACUAUGUUUGUAAGCUUAAUAUGUUAAACAUUUCUAUAAUAAAAGAUAUUAUAGACCA